GGGAAUCUACCGUGCCCUGCGGAAUAGCUCCGGGAAACUGGAAUUAAUACCGCAUACGCCCUACGGGGGAAAGAUUUAUCGGGGUGUGAUGAGCCCGCGUUGGAUUAGCUAGUUGGUGGGGUAAAGGCCUACCAAGGCGACGAUCCAUAGCUGGUCUGAGAGGAUGAUCAGCCACAUUGGGACUGAGACACGGCCCAAACUCCUACGGGAGGCAGCAGUGGGGAAUAUUGGACAAUGGGCGCAAGCCUGAUCCAGCCAUGCCGCGUGAGUGAUGAAGGCCUUAGGGUUGUAAAGCUCUUUCACCGGAGAAGAUAAUGACGGUAUCCGGAGAAGAAGCCCCGGCUAACUUCGUGCCAGCAGCCGCGGUAAUACGAAGGGGGCUAGCGUUGUUCGGAAUUACUGGGCGUAAAGCGCACGUAGGCGGAUAUUUGAGUCAGGGGUGAAAUCCCAGAGCUCAACUCUGGAACUGCCUUUGAUACUGGGUAUCUUGAGUAUGGAAGAGGUAAGUGGAAUUGCGAGU
rnacentral:rRNA from 1 species